GGUGAGUAACACGUGAGUAAUCUGCCCUGGACUUUGGGAUAGCCACCGGAAACGGUGAUUAAUACCGGAUACGACGACUCCACGCAUGUGGUGGUUGUGGAAAGUUUUUUCGGUUCAGGAUGUGCUCGCGGCCUAUCAGCUUGAUGGUGGGGUAAUGGCCUACCAUGGCUUCGACGGGUAGCCGGCCUGAGAGGGUGACCGGCCACACUGGGACUGAGACACGGCCCAGACUCCUACGGGAGGCAGCAGUGGGGAAUAUUGGACAAUGGGCGGAAGCCUGAUCCAGCAACGCCGCGUGAGGGAUGACGGCCUUCGGGUUGUAAACCUCUUUCAGUACCGACGAAGCGAAAGUGACGGUAGGUACAGAAGAAGCACCGGCCAACUACGUGCCAGCAGCCGCGGUAAUACGUAGGGUGCGAGCGUUGUCCGGAAUUAUUGGGCGUAAAGGGCUCGUAGGCGGUUUGUCGCGUCGGGAGUGAAAACACUGGGCUUAACUCAGUGCUUGCUUCCGAUACGGGCAGACUAGAGGUAUGCAGGGGAGAACGGAAUUCCUGGUGUAGCGGUGAAAUGCGCAGAUAUCAGGAGGAACACCGGUGGCGAAGGCGGUUCUCUGGGCAUUACCUGACGCUGAGGAGCGAAAGUGUGGGGAGCGAACAGGAUUAGAUACCCUGGUAGUCCACACCGUAAACGUUGGGCGCUAGGUGUGGGAUCCAUUCCACGGGUUCCGUGCCGCAGCUAACGCAUUAAGCGCCCCGCCUGGGGAGUACGGCCGCAAGGCUAAAACUCAAAGGAAUUGACGGGGG
rnacentral:rRNA from 1 species